AAGUACCGAAGCUGUAGACUUGCGCACAACUUAGAUUAUUUAAGUUUAGAAUAUGAGAAACUAAGUUAUAUUUUUACUGAUUUUUAUAGAGUAAAGAUAGAAAUAAAACUUAGUAAAAUCAGUAAAAAUAUUCUUAGGCUAAAGUUAAGUAGUUUAAGUUGUGUGCAAGUGGUAGGAGAGCGUUCUAUUUGCGUCGAAGGUAUACCGGUAAGGAGUGCUGGAGCGAAUAGAAGUGAGCAUGCAGGCAUGAGUAGCGAUAAUUAAUGUGAGAAUCAUUAACGCCGUAAACCCAAGGUUUCCUACGCGAUGCUCGUCAUCGUAGGGUUAGUCGGGUCCUAAGUCGAGUCCGAAAGGGGUAGACGAUGGCAAAUUGGUUAAUAUUCCAAUACCAACAUUAGUGUGCGAUGGAAGGACGCUUAGGGCUAAGGGGGCUAGCGGAUGGAAGUGCUAGUCUAAGGUCGUAGGAGGUUAUACAGGCAAAUCCGUAUAACAAUACUCCGAGAACUGAAAGGCUUUUUGAAGUCUUCGGAUGGAUAGAAGAACCCCUGAUGCCGUCGAGCCAAGAAAAGUUUCUAAGUUUAGCUAAUGUUGCCCGUACCGUAAACCGACACAGGUGGGUGGGAUGAGUAUUCUAAGGCGCGUGGAAGAACUCUCUUUAAGGAACUCUGCAAAAUAGCACCGUAUCUUCGGUAUAAGGUGUGGUUAGCUUCGUACUAGGAUUUACUCCGAAAGCGAAGAAACUUACAACAAAGAGUCCCUCCCGACUGUUUACCAAAAACACAGCACUCUGCUAACUCGUAAGAGGAUGUAUAGGGUGUGACGCCUGCCCGGUGCUCGAAGGUUAAUUGAUGGGGUUAGCAUUAGCGAAGCUCUUGAUCGAAGCCCGAGUAAACGGCGGCCGUAACUAUAACGGUCCUAAGGUAGCGAAAUUCCUUGUCGGUUAAAUACCGACCUGCAUGAAUGGCGUAACGAGAUGGGAGCUGUCUCAAAGAGGGAUCCAGUGAAAUUGUAGUGGAGGUGAAAAUUCCUCCUACCCGCGGCAAGACGGAAAGACCCCGUGGACCUUUACUACAGCUUGACACUGCUAUUUGGAUAAGAAUGUGCAGGAUAGGUGGGAGGCUUUGAGUAUAUGACGCCAGUUGUAUAGGAGCCAUUGUUGAGAUACCACUCUUUCUUAUUUGGGUAGCUAACCAGCUUGAGUUAUCCUCAAGUGGGACAAUGUCUGGUGGGUAGUUUGACUGGGGCGGUCGCCUCCCAAAUAAUAACGGAGGCUUACAAAGGUUGGCUCAGAACGGUUGGAAAUCGUUCAUAGAGUAUAAAGGUAUAAGCCAGCUUAACUGCAAGACAUACAAGUCAAGCAGAGACGAAAGUCGGUCUUAGUGAUCCGGUGGUUCUGUGUGGAAGGGCCAUCGCUCAAAGGAUAAAAGGUACCCCGGGGAUAACAGGCUGAUCUCCCCCAAGAGCUCACAUCGACGGGGAGGUUUGGCACCUCGAUGUCGGCUCAUCGCAUCCUGGGGCUGGAGCAGGUCCCAAGGGUAUGGCUGUUCGCCAUUUAAAGCGGUACGCGAGCUGGGUUCAGAACGUCGUGAGACAGUUCGGUCCCUAUCUGCCGUGGGCGUAAGAAGAUUGAAGAGAUUUGACCCUAGUACGAGAGGACCGGGUUGAACAAACCACUGGUGUAGCUGUUGUUCUGCCAAGAGCAUCGCAGCGUAGCUAAGUUUGGAAAGGAUAAACGCUGAAAGCAUCUAAGCGUGAAGCCAACUCUAAGAUGAAUCUUCUCUAAGCUCUCUAGAAGACUACUAGUUUGAUAGGCUGGGUGUGUAAUGGAUGAAAGUCCUUUAGCUGACCAGUACUAAUAGAGCGUUUGGCUUAUCUUUA
rnacentral:rRNA from 1 species